AAGGGACUAGCUAACAGUCGUGGGUCGUGGGUCGUGGGUAGAAUGUCGUGGGUCGUGGGUAGAAUGUCGUGGGUCGUGGGUAAAAAGUCGUGGGUCGUGGGUAAAAAGUCGUGGGUCGUGGGUAAAAAGUCGUGGGUCGUGGGUAAAAAGUCGUGGGUCGUGGGUAAAAAGUCGUAAGUCGUGGGUAAAAACGCGUGGGUCGUGGGUAAAAACGCGUGGGUCGUGGGUAAAAAGGCGUGGGUCGUGGGUAAAAAGGCGUGGGUCGUGGGUAAAAAAUCGUGGGUCCCGAAUAAAAAGUCGUGAAUUCCAAGCAAAAUAUUUCCAUAUAUUUACC